CCUACGGGACGCAGCAGUAGGGAAUCUUCCACAAUGGGCGAAAGCCUGAUGGAGCAACGCCGCGUGGGUGAAGAAGGUCUUCGGAUCGUAAAACCCUGUUGUUAGAGAAGAAAGUGCGUGAGAGUAACUGUUCACGUUUCGACGGUAUCUAACCAGAAAGCCACGGCUAACUACAUGCCAGCAGCCGCGGUAAUACGUAGGUGGCAAGCGUUAUCUGGAUUUAUUGGGCGUAAAGGGAACGCAGGAGGUCUUUUAAGUCUGAUGUGAAAGGCUUCGGGUUAAAUGGAGGAGUGCAUUGGAAAAUG
rnacentral:rRNA from 1 species